AGGAAGCUAGGCAUGUGAUUAGUAAAUAUUUGUAAUAGGCGUAGAGAAUCGGUGGUUGGUGAAAACCGAUGUGUUACUUUAUUGAAUCCACACAUGAAGCAAACAAUGAAAACAAUAACCAUUGACUAAAUUGUUUCGGGUCUACCCGUUAUCGUCUGAAAGUGCAGCUGUGCUAGGUACAGCUGAACUUGGGUGGUACCGCGAACUUACAGCCAUUUCGUCCCAAUU
rnacentral:ncRNA from 1 species